UACGUACCGUCCAAACGUUAUUCGGAAUUACUGGGCUUAAAGGGUACGUAGGCGGCGCUGUUAGUCGGGUGUGAAAUCCCAGGGCUCAACCCUGGAACUGCGCCCGAUACUGCAGUGCUUGAGGGAGACAGAGGUAAGCGGAACUGAUGGUGGAGCGGUGAAAUUCGUAGAUAUUCGGAAGAACACCAGUGGCGAAGGCGACUUACUGGACACAUAUUGACGCUGAGGUGCGAAAGCGUGGGGAGCAAACAGG
rnacentral:rRNA from 1 species